GAUGAACGCUGGCGGCGUGCCUAAUACAUGCAAGUCGAGCGAACAGACGAGGAGCUUGCUCCUCUGACGUUAGCGGCGGACGGGUGAGUAACACGUGGAUAACCUACCUAUAAGACUGGGAUAACUUCGGGGAACCGGAGCUAAUACCGGAUAAUAUAUUGAACCGCAUGGUUCAAUAGUGAAAGACGGUUUUGCUGUCACUUAUAGAUGGAUCCGCGCCGCAUUAGCUAGUUGGUAAGGUAACGGCUUACCAAGGCAACGAUGCGUAGCCGACCUGAGAGGGUGAUCGGCCACACUGGAACUGAGACACGGUCCAGACUCCUACGGGAGGCAGCAGUAGGGAAUCUGCCGCAAUGGGCGAAAGCCUGACGGAGCAACGCCGCGUGAGUGAUGAAGGUCUUCGGAUCGUAAAACUCUGUUAUUAGGGAAGAACAAAUGUGUAAGUAACUAUGCACGUCUUGACGGUACCUAAUCAGAAAGCCACGGCGAACUACGU
rnacentral:rRNA from 1 species